rnacentral:lncRNA from 1 species
GUACGUUCUUCACUUAAUCCAGUGUCUGUCUCCUAGUAAUUAUUGCCUGGCUUUCAAACCGAUGAGGCUUACGCUUCAGCUUGGGUAAUGAAGUGAGUAAAUUGGGAUUGUCUCGAGUUUUAAUCGUUGAGUUUCCUGCCUACUUGUGCAACUUGGUUUGAUGAUCAAUUAACUUCAGAUCUCGUCUGGCCCAGGCAGUGCGUGAGAUGAAGAUGAUAUCCACAAGCGUACUGAAGAUCAAGUGGACCGUCACUGGGACGCCGAAGCUUCCGCCAGCAUCUGCAUUGGGUGGUAGGGUCGUGCUAGCUGUGAGCUCAACCUUCACUAUGAACCAGAUCAGUGGCCAGGUUACUUUGCAUGAAGACGAGUGGGACUUGUCAGCCUCAGAUCCAGCCGCACAGGCCUACUUCUGGACCGCAAGAUUGGCCUUCUCAGCUGUGGAGGGAGGAAAGAACUUUGCAUCUGGUGUGCAAGGAAUAGCGAAGCAACUAGAUAAAGGCCAAGAAAACAACAGUAACUCAAUCUAUCCGGACCCAUCCGGUGAUCCAAGAAAAGUAAGUCCCCAGACGUUGCAAACCUCAAAAUUUGAUGUUCAUUUUUUUAACAUUUUGAAUGCAACCAUCAUUUGCUCUUCCAGGUUCUCUUCUCUCGGCUUUUAAUUGAGGGUUAUGAUUCGUUAACCUCGAGAAAAGAGUUUGCAGUAUCGUAGGAAAAGCCGAACGUUCUCUUGUGAAGCAGGAGCAGUUCAUCAACAGCGUCUGAUUCGUCAAUUUUGAAAUUUUCUCGUGU